AAAGUUAGAGGUUCGAAGGCGAUCAGAUACCGCCCUAGUUCUAACCAUAAACGAUGCCAGCCAGCAAUCCGGCUGUGUUCCUCAAAUGACACGCCGGGCAGCUUUACGGAAACGAAAGCUUUUUGGUUCCGGGGGAAGUAUGGUUGCAAAGCUGAAACUUAAAGGAAUUGACGGAAGGGCACCACCAGGUAUGGAGCCUGCGGCUUAAUUUGACUCAACUCGGGGAAACUCACCCAGCCAGGACACAGGAAGGAUUGACAGAUUAAGAGCUCUUUCUUGAUUCUGUGGAUGGUGGUGCAUGGCCGUUCUUAGUUGGUGGAGCGAUUUGUCUGGUCUAUUCCGAUAACGAACGAGACUCUAGCCUGCUAAAUAGACGUUCCGAUCCUAUGCGUCGGACGCUCUUCUUAGAGGGACCAGCGGCGUUUAGCCGCACGAGACAGAGCAAUAACAGGUCUGUGAUGCCCUGAGAUGUCUGGGGCCGCACGCGCGCUACAUUGAAGGAAUCAGCGUGUGCUUUCCCGGUCCGACAGGACUGGGUAACCCGUUGAACCUCUUUCGUGCUGGGGAUAGGGGCUUGCAAUUGUCCCCCUUGAACGAGGAAUACCCAGUAAGCGCGAGUCAAAACCUCGUGUUGAUUACGUCCCUGCCCUUUGUACACACCGCCCGUCGCUACUACCGAUUGAAUGAUUUAGUGAGGUCUUCGGACUGGCGCUCGGAGCGGCCUCCGGGUUCGCGCCGGCGUGCCGGAAAGAUGACCAAACUUGAUCAUU
rnacentral:rRNA from 1 species